AUUGAAGAUAUCAAGGUAGUAAUUUUUACUUUAAAAUAUUAAUAAAACUAGUAGUUUAUCUAUACAAU
rnacentral:tRNA from 1 species